GGGCCCGCACAAGCGGUGGAGUAUGUGGUUUAAUUCGAUGCAACGCGAAGAACCUUACCAGGGUUUGACAUCCUGCGAAUCUCUUGGAAACAGGAGAGUGCCUUCGGGAACGCAGUGACAGGUGGUGCAUGGCUGUCGUCAGCUCGUGUCGUGAGAUGUUGGGUUAAGUCCCGCAACGAGCGCAACCCACGUCUUUAGUUGCCAGCAUUUAGUUGGGCACUCUGAAAGAACUGCCAGUGAUAAGCUGGAGGAAGGUGGGGAUGACGUCAAGUCCUCAUGGCCCUUACGACCAGGGCUACACACGUGCUACAAUGGUAGGUACAGAGGGCAGCUACACAGCGAUGUGAUGCGAAUCUCAAAAAGCCUAAUCGUAGUCCAGAUUGGAGUCUGCAACUCGACUCCAUGAAGUAGGAAUCGCUAGUAAUCG
rnacentral:rRNA from 1 species